GAUGAACGCUGGCGGCGUGCCUAAUACAUGCAAGUCGAGCGGUAAGGCCCCUUCGGGGGUACACGAGCGGCGGACGGCUGAGUAACGCGUAGGAACGUACCCCAAAGUGAGGGAUAAGCACCAGAAAUGGUGUCUAAUACCGCAUGUGGUCUUCGGAUUAAAGCUUCGGCGCUUUGGGAACGGCCUGCGUAUGAUUAGAUUGUUGGUGAGGUAACGGCUCACCAAGUCGACGAUCAUUAGCUGGUCUGAGAGGAUGAUCAGCCAGACUGGAACUGAGAACGGUCCAGACUCCUACGGGAGGCAGCAGUAGGGAAUUUUCCACAAUGGACGAAAGUCUGAUGGAGCAACGCCGCGUGCAGGAUGAAGGCCCUUGGGUUGUAAACUGCUUUUAUUUGUGACGAAUAUGACGGUAGCAAAUGAAUAAGGAUCGGCUAACUCCGUGCCAGCAGCCGCGGUCAUACGGAGGAUCCAAGCGUUAUCCGGAAUUACUGGGCGUAAAGAGUUGCGUAGGUGGCAUAGUAAGUAGAUAGUGAAAGCGUGGGGCUCAACCUCAUAAACAUUAUCUAAACUGCUAAGCUAGAGGGCGAGAGAGGUAACUAGAAUUCCUUGUGUAGGAGUGAAAUCCGUAGAUAUAAGGAGGAAUACCGAUGGCGUAGGCAGGUUACUGGCUCGUCCCUGACACUAAGGCACGAAAGCGUGGGGAGCAAACGGGAUUAGAUACCCCGGUAGUCCACGCCGUAAACGAUGGAUGCUAGCUGUUAGAAGUAUCGACCCUUCUAGUAGCGAAGCUAACGCGUUAAGCAUCCCGCCUGUGGAGUACGGUCGCAAGACUAAAACAUAAAGGAAUUGACGGGGACCCGCACAAGCGGUGGAGCGUGUUCUUUAAUUCGAAGGUAAGCGAAGAACCUUACCAGGGUUUGACAUCCCGGUGCAAUUUCCGAAAGGAAACUUCAUUUAGUUGGUCGGUGACAGGUGUUGCAUGGCCGUCGUCAGCUCGUGUCGUGAGAUGUUUGGUUAAGUCCAUCAACGAGCGCAACCCUUUUAUUCAGUUGGAUUUUUCUGAAUAUACUGCCCCGGUAACGGGGAGGAAGGAGGGGAUGAUGUCAGGUCAGUAUUACCCUUACACCCUGGGCUAGAAACACGCUACAAUGGCCGGUACAAAGGGCAGCCAAAGCGCAAGCUGGAGCAAAUCCCAUCAAAGCCGGUCCCAGUUCGGAUAGCAGGCUGAAACUCGCCUGCUUGAAGUUGGAAUCGCUAGUAACGGUAGGUCAGCACACUACCGUGAAUACGUUCCCGGGUCU
rnacentral:rRNA from 1 species